UGCAACUUGAGUGGUAAGUUUAAUACUCUAUUUGUUUGUUGAUAUACUUUUGUAGUUUUGUUUUAUUAUCAUCAAAAAUAUAAUAUUCUAACUUAUGAUUUAUCUUUUUUUUUUUAGGUUCAAGUGCAAUGAUGACCCGUGCUCCUAAUAUUCAUCCAAAGAGGGAUGUCACAUAUUGUUUAAGGAAGCAUAUUAGGCGUUGUCUUGAGCGUCUUCCUGAAAUCCGUAUUUAAGAAUUAAGACUAAGUUGAUUUGAGACUAUUAGUGUAAACUUGAAUAGAGGGAUGCCCUCUAUGUUUUUGUUGCACUGUGUUUAAUUCUGCUGGUUACUGCUACUCGUUAGUAGUUGUUACUAUCUUAGGUUGCUGUGAUAUUUAUUUACUUCUUUUCCCUUUCAAGUACUUGUUAGGAAUGUGAUAAUCAGGCGUGUACUUGCUGUGAAUGUGAUAAUCAUGUGCUCUUAC
rnacentral:lncRNA from 1 species